rnacentral:rRNA from 1 species
GGGGGGGGGGGGGGGGGGGGGGGGGGGGGGGGGGGGGGGGGGGGGGGGGGGGGGGGGGGGGGGGGGUCGGCGGCGGGCGGGGGGGGGGUGCGUGGGGGUCUGCCUGGGGGUGGGGGGUGGCGUCCGGGGACGGGCGCUGGUACCGCGUACGUCCUGAGGGAGAACGUGGGGGUUCUUCGGACCUCACGCUAUCAGAUUAGCCUGGGUCGGCUUAGCUAGUUGGUGGGGUAAAGGCCUACCAAGGCGACGAUCCGUACCUGGGCUGAGAGGAUGAUCAGUCACACUGGAACUGAGACACGGUCCAGACUCCUACGGGAGGCAGCAGUGGGGAAUAUUGGACAAUGGGCGAAAGCCUGAUCAAGCAAUGCCGAGUGUGUGAAGAAGGUCUUCGGAUUGUAAAGCACUUUAAGUUGGGAGGAAGGGCAGUAAGUGAAUACCUUGCUGUUUUGACGUUACCAACAGAAUAAGCACCGGCUAACUUCGUG